AUUGAACGCUGGCGGCAUGCCUUACACAUGCAAGUCGAACGGUAACGGGCCUUCGGGUGCCGACGAGUGGCGAGCGGGUGAGUAAUACAUCGGAACGUGCCCGAUCGUGGGGGAUAACGAGGCGAAAGCUUUGCUAAUACCGCAUACGAUCUACGGAUGAAAGCAGGGGACCGCAAGGCCUUGCGCGGACGGAGCGGCCGAUGGCAGAUUAGGUAGUUGGUGGGAUAAAAGCUUACCAAGCCGACGAUCUGUAGCUGGUCUGAGAGGAUGAUCAGCCACACUGGGACUGAGACACGGCCCAGACCCCUACGGGAGGCAGCAGUGGGGAAUUUUGGACAAUGGGCGCAAGCCUGAUCCAGCCAUGCCGCGUGCAGGAUGAGGGCCUUCGGGUUGUAAACUGCUUUUGUACGGAACGAAAAGCCUUCUUUUAAUACAGGAGGGUCAUGACGGUACCGUAAGAAUAAGCACCGGCUAACUACGUG
rnacentral:rRNA from 1 species